rnacentral:lncRNA from 1 species
GUUGACGAGAAAUCUGCAAGAAAGACCGAAAUACCCUUUGAGUGAUGAAUGAGUGAUGAAUGGGUAUCCUAUGAGUUAGGAAUGAGAGGUGUGUGGCAGAAAUCAAGUCAGAAGAUUUUGGAAGUCAGUUGUGGAACACGAGAUGAAUGUGAUCCUUAGUUUGAAGGGGAGAAUGUGAUAUAACAAACUAAGUCCCACAUUGGAGAAUUAGACAAGGAGUGUCUAAUAUAUAAAGAGAUGUCCAACUCUAAUAGUACGAGGCCUUUUGGGAUGGAAACCAAAAGUAAAUCCAUGCGGGCUUGCCAAUUAGGCCCAAAGUGGACAAUAUCGUACUAAUCGGAUAAUAUAGAGUUGGACACGGGAUUUUACAAUCCCAACAAUUGGUAUCAGAGCCGGUUGACGAGAAAUCUGCAAGCACUACAAGAAAACAUCGGGAUACUGAGGGAAAAAAUCGUCGGUAUGUCGUCGGAAUAACGCUAUUCCGAGGACAUACCGACGAAAAAAGUCCUCGGAAAUAACUCCUCGGAAAUUCAUAAUUCCUCGGAAUUCCGUCGGAAUUUUCCGACGGAAUUCCGAGGAAACAAAAUUCCGAGGAUACUCCGAGGACACGAAGUUCGUCGGAAGGUUCCUCGGAAAAUACCGAGGGAAUUUCGAUGGCCCAAUCCUCGGAAGUUUCGACGAAAUAUUCCUCGGAAUGUUUAUCGGAAAAUACCGAGGAACAUUCCGAGGAACUUUUUCCCUCAGAAAAUUCCGAGGAACUUAAAGUUCGUCGGAAUUUGCCGAGGGGAGAAAGUUCCUCGGAAUUUUCCGAGGAACUCCAUUCCCUCGGAAUUUUGAAAAAAUUUAUUUUUUUUAAAAAUUUAUUUUUUUUUUAAAUUAAUUUUAUUUUUAAAAAUUAAAAUUUUUAAAAUUUAAAAUUAAAAUUGAAUAAAACAUAAAAUAAAACAUAGUAGAUAAUAUUCAAAUUUAAAUAAAACAUUCAGAGUUUUUGGAAAAAAAAAAACUACGGGUCUUGAAUGUUCGGGAACGUCUCGUUCGGGUACAUCCUCUUCAUCAUCUCCAUCAUCUGCUCGUUCAGCCUCUUCUGGGUCUCAUAGCCCGCCUGUUGAGCUGCCAUCUGAGUCUCCAACGCAGAUAUCCGAUCAUCCUUGUCCUUCAGCUGAGCCGUAAGAACUUCUGGAUCAACAUACGCAUGUGGUGCAGAAGAAGGAGCAGCCGACCGGGAGCGACGACCCAAACCGACCAAACGUCCCUUUUUCUUUGGAACCGACUGAAAUAUAAAUAACCAAGUUUAGAUAAUUUAAAUUGAUGAUAAAAUAAAAAUCAAGAAAUAAUUAAAUUGAACUUUUAAAAAAAAAAAACUUACCGAUUCAACGAUUUCGUUGAUUCGAACCCGAGACAAGUUGGUCGAGGCCGUCGAAUCGUCAUCAUCGGUUUGAAGCUGAGACACUUCGUCAUACACCUGAGUUUGGACCAGGUCGACCACGUCCCUCACAAGACCAUCAUCAAUCUGGCCGGUCUUCUUGUUGGUAUACGCCCUUUUCAUAAGGGCGAGAUCAUCAACUGGGUGGCCUUCAUUUUCUUCCGCCUUGAAAAAAAAUAAAUUAGACAAACAUUAGAAAUUUGAAAAUGCAAAAAAAUAAAAUUCUGAAACUUAAAUAAUUGAAGAAAAAGCGGUUGAGCUUACCAUGCGAUCCGCCAGAGUGGCAAUAGAUUGAGCACCCAAGUUAUGCUUGUAGAUGCCCUUUCCUUUACGGUCGCUCCUGCGGUUGUUGGAGUUGGUGGAAGAAGUUUCUUUCGUCUCUUCUUUAUCCCAAUGCGCACACAACUCCUUCCAGACCGUGUCGUUCAUCGACUUUGGGACCUUUUAAUUUAAAAAAAAAAAGUUUAAUAAUUUUAAAAAUAGUGUAAUAAAUUAAAAAUUGUUAAUAAAUUAAAAACUACCUUGUUUACUUCCCACUUCUUCUUCCACUCGUACAUCUGCUUCCCAUAGUUGUCCAUAACUUUAUGGACAAAAUGGUGAUAGAUAGAGAGCGUAUCAUCGGCAUUCCAGUUGAAUUCUUGCUGAAAUAGUUUAAAAAUAGUUUUUAAACACAAAAAUAUAAUAGUUUAAUAAUUACAAAAAUCGUCGUUUUAAUAAAUAAAAAAUAGUUUAAUAAUUAAAAAAAUAAUUUAAUAAUUACCAAAAUAAGUUUUAAUAAUAUUUAAAAUGUCUAAUAAAUAUAGAAAUUAGUUUAAUAAUUACAAAAAUAAGUUUUAAUAAUAUUUAAAAUGUCUAAUAAAUAUAGAAAAUAGUUUAAUAAUUACAAAAAAUAGUUUUAAUAAUAUAAAAAUAUAAUUUAAAAAUUAGAAUACUUACCGCAAACUGCUGAAACCACAGAUGCUGCUUCUCGACAGGGAAGUGAGUGAAAGUCGGAUGUCCGCUGUCGAGGGCCGAGUACAUCAUACGGUUGAUCCAUGCGCUGAUCCCAUUCCCGGAUCGGUUGAACCUAAUAAAAAAAAAUUAUUAAUAAAAAAAUAGUUUAAAUAAAAAAUAGUUUAAAAAAUAAAAGUUUAAAUUACCAUGUUUGACCAUGUCCAUGUGGAUACUCAGUGAGAUAGGGAAGAUGGUCACGACCGGGCUGUCGAACCAACUCCGCAACCCUCAUCACUCCCAGAGGACCGGGUGCAGCAGCGGGACCAGGAGCGGGUGCAGCAGCGGGAGCGGGAGCAGCAUGAGCGAGUAAUGGAGAGGGAGAUGUAUGGUAUGAGCUGUGGGGCGAAACGGAAUCCUGAACAUGGCUGGAAGAACCCCGAGACUGGCUCCCCAUACCACCCCGGCUACGACGCUGGCGAGACCGGAUCUGAUCAUCAUUAGACCUGUAAAUUAAAAAAAAACAUAUUUAAAAAUUAGUUCUAAUAAUUUUAAUUAAAAAAAACAGUUUAAAUAAAAAAAGUUUUAAUAAAUAAAAAAUAGUUUAAAAAUUUUAAAAAUAGUUUAAAUAAAUCCCAAAAACAUAAUAAUUACGAAAAAUAGUUUUAAAAAUGUUUAAAAUGUUAAAUAAUUACAAAAAUAGUUUUCAUAAUAUUAAAAAUGUUUACUAAAUAUAGAAAUUUAUAUUUUACAUAUAAAAUACAAAAAAAAUGUUUUUAAAUAUUAUAUAAAUGAUUUUUAAUCUUAAAAAAAGUUUUAUAGAUUUUAAAAAUGUUUAAUAAAUAUAUAAAUGAAUUUAAAAUGCAAAAAAUAGAUUUUAUAUACAAAAAACGUUUUCAAUAUAUAUAUAUAAUUUCAAAUUCGAUUUUUAUAACCACAAAAUUAAUAAAAACUCUAAAAAAAAAAAUUCAAAUCAAGUGAAAUACAUAAUCAAACUCGAUUUUACACAAAUCUACCAUUCACCCUAACAAAAUCUAUAAAUCUCAUUCCAAAAUCAUCAAAUCUACUUAAAAACCAUACAAAUCUAACCUAAAAGAGUGGGAUAGGGUUCUUACAUGAUUAUGGGGGAGGAUUAGGGGAGAUUCGCCGGAAAAACGCGAGAGAGAACGGUGGAGUCGCCGGAAAUCGCGAGAGGAGAGGCUCAGCGGCGCGGAGAGAAAGAGAGAAAUGGGGAAGAAGAUCGGGCUCGCCCUAAUAUUAUGAGGCGUCCGACGGAAACUAUCCGUCGGAAUUUCCUCGGAAAUAUUUAAUAUUUCCGUCGGAAUUUCCUCGAAAUUCUUUGAUUCAAUUUUCCCGAAAUAUUUGGCGGCUUGGUUUACCCGGUUAAAUGAAAAUAUUCCGACGAACAAUGAUUCCUCGGAAUACCCUCGGUAAUCUCCGAGGAAUUUCUGAGGAACCAGGGUUUGGGGUUUUUAAACAUCGAUUAUUUUCGCCGUAUUUCAUUUCUUAUACAAUUAUAAUGCAUACCAUUGAGGAUUCUUUGUAUAGAUGAUCAUAAACCAUGAAAUAACACAAUUUCAAAAAUAAUUGUAAGUAUUCCCUUUACCAUUUAUUAAAGUGUAUAAGUGUUUCUCUUAUGUUGUGUGGUUUUCGUUCAUGCAAUCGUAAAAGUGUUUGUUAUUGGAUAAAACACCAAAGUUCAUAGUUCCAAACAUCAUAAUCUGGUUAUGACACUUAAUGAAGGUUAUAUACGUGUUAUUCAAUCCGUAAAACGUUGUUUUCGAUUUAAAACCCCCAGUUCCUCGGAAUUUCCUCGGAAUAUACCGAGGAGAUUCCGAGGAAAUCCUUAUGUUCGUCAGCAUUUCCUCGGAAUAUACCGAGGAGAUUCCGAGGAAAAAGAAUCUAUAAUCAAAUCCCCAUCUCCUCGGAAUUUCCUCGGAAUUUCCCGAGGAAAUGCCGACGAACAUAAAGAGUUCCUCGGAAUUUCCUCGGAAUUUUCCGAGGGAAUUCCGAGGAACUUGGGGUUUUCAAUCGAGAAGAUCUAUUCCGAGGAAAACCUAUCUGUCCUCGGAAUUUCCUCGGAAUUUUCCUUAAAAAAAAAAAAAAAAAAAAAAAAAAAGGUCGACGCUAGUCUGUUUCCGAGUCGUCAUCACCAGAUGAAUCUGAAUCUGGAUCUUGGUGAAACUCUCCAAUCACUGGUUCAUCAUCUACGUGAACGGCGGCUUCUUCUCCGAAGUCAGUUAAAUCGACUACAAGGCCAACUCCACCUAAAUCUUCUGCUGCACCUAGGUCUUCUGUUUUUGGUCUGAACUUCUGCUGGAAAGUAGUACUCGGCAAAGUUUGAAGUUUCUUCAUUGAUCAUCUGUGCGACUAUAGACCCUUCCACCCUACUUAAAUUUUUCACCAUCUUCUUCAAAUGGAACAUAUACCGCUCAUACAGAUACAUCCAUCUAUACUGCACAGGACCACCAAGUUCCAAUUCUCUUACCAGGUGAAUAACAAGAUGCUCCAUAACAUCAAAAAAUGAGGGAGGAAAUAUCUUCUCAAGGUUGCACUGAAUCACAGCUAUGUUAGUCUUCAAAUUUUCAAUACCUUCAAGAGUCACUGAUCUUGUGCAUAAAUCGCGGAAGAAACCACUUAUCCCUGCAAUUGCUUCAUGAACAUUUCGUGGUAAUAGUUCCUUGAAGGCAAACGGAAGGAGACGCUGCAUCAUUACAUGGCAAUCAUGGCUUUUCAAGCCAGUAAACUUUCCUUCCUUUCUGUCGAUACAGUUACGCAAAUUAGAUGCGUAACCGUCUGGAAAUUCCACAUCGUUUGAAAUCCAAUCAAAGAACGCAUCCUUUCCCGCUGCAUCAAGUCGGUAUAUGGGAAAAGGAGCCCUACCACUCUCAUCAACAUGAAGUUCUGAACGAGCACAUAUAUCGACUAAAUCCAGUCUUGACUUCAAAUUAUCCUUUGUUUUACCUUGAACAUUAAGGAUCGUGUUCAUGAGAUUGUCAAAAAAGUUCUUCUCGAUAUGCAUGACAUCUAAAUUAUGCCUUAGUAGAUGAUCCUCCCAGUAUGGCAGAUCCCAAAAAAUACUUUUUUUGUGCCAGUUAUGUAGGUUUCCAACACCAUCUACCGGAAAAUGCUCAUGUCCACCGACGUCUGGCGUCCUUUCUGCACCAAAAUCUCUAAGUUGUGUCUUCAAAUCUUUCCCACGAAUUUCCGGAGGUGGACUGUCAAACACCCUCUUGUUCUUCGUAAACAAAUUCCUACUUCUACGAUAUGGAUGAUCUGGUGGUAGAAAUCUCCUGUGACAGUCAAACCAACACGUUUUCCUUCCGUGUUUUAGUUGGAAAGCAUCAGUGUUAUCUUGACAAUAUGGACAUGAUAGCCUUCCAUGCGUUGUCCAUCCAGAUAACAUACCAUAUGCUGGAAAAUCACUUAUUGUCCACAUUAGUACUGCCCGCAUUUGAAAGUUUUCUUUAUACGAAACAUCGUAUGUUUCAGCACCUUGAGUCCAUAGUUGUUGCAACUCAUAUAUUAGUGGCUGAAGAAACACAUCAAGUGAUCUCUUAGGAUGCUCUGGUCCGGGAACGAGAAUCGAGAGAAACAAAAACUCUCGUCGCAAGCACAAGUUUGGGGGUAGGUUGUAUGGUGUAAGAAUGACUGGCCAUAGAGAAUACUGUCUUCCACUCUUGCCAAACGGGCUGAAACCAUCAGUACAUAAUCCAAGGUAGACAUUUCUUCUCUCAUACGCAAAGUCGGGAUACUUUGAUUGGAAAUGCUUCCACGCUUUUGCAUCUGAAGGAUGUCUGAUCUCACCAUCUGUUGAGUGCUCCGCAUGCCAUCUCAUUGGUUGCGCUGUGCGUUCAGACAGAUACAGCCUCUGCAACCUUUCCGUCAAAGGCAAAUACCACAUCCUUUUAUAUGGUACUGGAACUCUUCCACUCGUAUCUUUAUAACGAGGCUUCCCACAAAAUUUGCAUGAAACCCGCUGUUCAUCCGCCCUCCAAUAAAUCAUGCAGUUGUCUCUGCAUACAUCUAUUACCUGAUACGAUAAACCAAGACCAGCUACGAGUUUCUGAACCUCGUAGUAUGAGCCAGGAGCUACAUUAUCUUCGGGUAGAAUACCUUUUACAUAAUCAGCAAUCGCAUCCACACAGUCUUCAGCCAAAUUAUAAUCCGUCUUAAUGCCCAUCAAUCUUGUAGCAGAUGAUAAAGCUGAAUGACCAUCUCUGCAACCUUCGUACAAUGGUUGCUUUCCAGCAUCCAACAUAUCAUAAAAUCUCUUAGCUUCGGCAUUGGGUAAAUCUUCCCCUCUAAAAUGAUCAUUUACCAUCUGCUCAGUACCUACACCGUAAUCUACAUCCGUUCUAAUUGGAUCUUCUAAUCUAACCGCUGGCUGAGGUUCGCUAGUACUACCAAGUUCAUAAUCAGUUUCUCCAUGAUGAUACCAAAUUUUGUAACUUCGUGUAAACCCACUCAAAUAUAAAUGAGUCCAAACAUCCCAUUCUUUAAUAACUUUUUUUAUUUUUACAAUUAGAGCAAGGACAUCUUAACAUACCUGUUUUUGCUUCCGGUUGUCGGUGAACUAACCCCAUGAAUUCGGUUAUACCUUGUUGGUAUUCUUCCGUAAGCAAUCUCGUGUUCGGAUCCAAAUGAGGUCGAUCGAUCCAAGAACGAAAAUAAUUUGAAGAAGACAUGUUUUUUAUGAAUCAAAUUCGUGUGUAAAGAAAGUGAGAGGGAGGAUGAAGAUAUGGUGUGAAUGAAGAGGAAGAGGGGUGCUUGUAUUUAUAGUUGAAAUCCUGCCGACGGUCCGAGGAAAUUCCGACGGAAUUCCGAUGCAAACGGCUAGUUCGUCGGAAUUUCCUCGGAAUUUUUAAAAUCCCCCCAACGGCUCUCCAACGGCUCUCUAACGUCUAUAAUAUUUCCUCGGAAUUCAUCGGUUUUUUCCGAGGAAUACUAGUUUCCUCGGUAUUCCGUCGGAAUAUUCCGACGAAAUGAAUUUUCCUCGGAAUUCCGUCGGAAUAUUCCGACGGAAUUCCGAGGAAGCAAAAUUUUGUGUUUCCUCGGAAUUGCCUCGGAAAUGCCUCGGUAUAUUCCGAGGAAUUCAUUUUCCGUCGGAACGUCCGUCAGAAUACCGCUGUUUUCUUGUAGUGAAGAAAGACCGAAAUACCCUUUGAGUGAUGAAUGAGUGAUGAAUGGGUAUCCUAUGAGUUAGGAAUGAGAGGUGUGUGGCAGAAAUCAAGUCAGAAGAUUCUGGAAGUCAGUUGUGGAACACGAGAUGAAUGUGAUCCUUAGUUUGAAGGGGAGAAUGUGAUAUAACAAACUAAGUCCCACAUUGGAGAAUUAGACAAGGAGUGUCUAAUAUAUAAAGAGAUGUCCAACUCUAAUAGUACGAGGCCUUUUGGGAUGGAAACCAA